rnacentral:lncRNA from 1 species
GGUGGUGUCAAUAUUGCUGUCCUCACUAGGCCUGCUGGGAAGUCCUCAUUCCUGACUAGUCAGUCUUCUGGCCACAUAAGUGGCUACUGUGCUCCUCUGUCUCAAUCCUAGGCCAAUUCAGUGUGGUAUGGGGUCUACAUCUCUCUCCAAGCAUGAGAAGCAUUCUGUGGCUCCUCAAGUUCUCUGGGCUGUGGGAUAGUCACAUCCAUGCCCCCUCAGGAGCUGAGAAUCGUAUUGCCACCAUCAUAACAUGCUUUGCCUGAGGAACUCUGUGUACCCAACUCAUGGCCAAGUGUCUUUACAAACCACAUAAACACUCUGUUCUGCCCUUGUGAGGGGCAGGGGAAUCCAGUCUUUUUCACCCCUUCAGGCUCUACCCAGGGAGUGGGGGACACAAUUUUCUGCUUCUCCAAGAUCUCUAAACCUACCUGGGAUCUCUGUUGUCCUUUCCUAUCAGGGUCUCAGCUUAGUGUAGAACAGUGGACAGUCCUUUUAGAAGCUCCAUUGUGUCCUCUCCAACCUUUCCCCUCUCUCCUCACUCCUGGAAUGUAAGACUACAAAGAUGGGGAACAAUUCUCUUACUAUUGUGCAGUCUUCCCUAUCUUUGCUAUUGUGACUGGCCUUGUAAUAUUCAAAAGCCGAAAUGAUUUGAUUUCUUUGUCAUGUGUUCUCUGCCUCCCAUCCUGAGGCAAGGAAAGCAGAAUGUCCAGUGGCCCAAAGGGAGGGCAUGGAUACCACAGGAUACACUGAAGAAUGAGUCUUCAUCACUAUCUCAGCACAUGAUUCCACCAUACCUGAGAGCUGCCCCGGGCCCAUUUGGAGGAGGCAGGUGCUUCAGCUAUAUCCUGGGUACUUUGAGGGACCGGAAUCUGGAGUUCCCCUGCCUGAGGCACAGAGGCUAUGUGACUCCUUCAGUCCUAUAUUUCAAUCCGGUAGAUUUUGUGGUGAUAAAGUCCCCGAGCCCCUCAUCUCCUCAGACAGCCGGCUCUGGGUGGAGUUCCGCAGCAGCAGCA